UAAUCAAUACUAAGUGGUUAAGUCCAAUUUGGGUUAGAAUCGUGGCUUAUUUUAUAACUUGCUCUCUGGCCUUGAAUAAGUUACCCAACCUCUGAAAAUCAAUUUUCUCAUUUCCUGUGAGAGUUAACCUGGAAGAAAAAAAACCUUGUAAGAUCCCCUGCUUGGCACAUACUAAGUGGCUGACAAAUGCUACGAUAUUAUAAUUAUUUGUACCCACUGAAUAUUUCCCCACUUAAGUAAAACAUCAUUGAAAUGACUAUCAUCUGUUAUUGGUCUGAAGUCCAAAGGUAGAAGAAGAACUUAAUGUUUGAAAGUGCUCGUGGCCACGGACUGAGCAUGACAUGACAAACAGAGGGUUGGAUGGACACCAGGAAAGUCGGAGUUGUCUGCAAUACUGGCAGUUUGACAUGAAUAAUUUGGAUUGCUUAAUGGUGCACAAAGGCAUGUGAAUGAAAUGAAACAGUAGAGUCUUCCUGAGCCCAAACUGCCAAGAUGAUAAUGCCACUUGGACACUCUAUGAUGAUGGGCCCAGGAAAAAUUCACAGAAGAGGGGGAGGAAAGACUGUAAGAGCCAGAGGACCAGGAUGCCUGUUGCUAGACAGUAUCUUAUAAGGUGACAUGGAGUGUGCAUGUAUAGCAUCUCAAAAAUACAGUUGCUGAAUGAGACGACAUAAUGACAACACCACUUGACCUGACAAUAUGAGCCCAAGAAAUUCGGCAAGGUCCCACACCUCGAUGAAGAGCUACAGGUGGCCAGUGGUUAUUGAGAGCUGCCUGCCUCUACCUCUGAAGAGACUUGCCACCAUGACCAGUGACAAAAAAUUCUUAUUACAGAUUUGUAUUUACAAAUAUUUUUUUUUGGAGUGGACGCUAAUGUAAAUGGUCUGUCCUUUUAAUUUUAAAUUCUAUUGCCAACUGUCAGUAUAUAGGAAAGUAAUGCAUUCUUAUAUAUUAACCUUACAUCUUGAAACUGUUCUGCAAUUGCUUAUAAUCUGAGGAGAUUUUUUUGAUUCUUUUGGAUUUCCUAAGAAAACUAUAAUUAUAAAUAUUAUAAUUUAUUUUGCAACUUGCAUGCCACUUUUCUUUUUCUUAUUGUAUUGAACUGGAAUUCCAGUACAAUAAUGAAAGGGACAGCUUAGUUUCUGAAAAUAUUCUUAUUUUAAUAUGUAAAUUUCAUUUCUAUUCUGAACCUGUUGGAGUAGGGAUAUUUCAUCUUAUAACAUGCCUGGUAUGUUUUCAAUGCUCUUAAAUGUAAUGAAACAAAGUUACAUCUUCAAUUUAUAGCUGAGGAGACUGGGAACAAAGAAUUGACCUUGUUCAAUGGCAAAACCUCAUCCAUUGUUGAGGAAGGCUCCCCCUGGCCCCCGAGCACCCCAAGCCUCGGCCAAUUCUCCAUCUGAAUACAGAAGUGUGAGACUUAAUUCUCCAGAUACUGUCACAUUUUAGUGAGUGACUUUUAUUGCAAUUACCACUGCAGCUUUCCAGACCUACAAGCUGUCACCCACAUUAUAGAAUGACAGGAGUCAUUAUUGACCCUCUCGAGGUGCAGUCUCCUAGCUGAUACACAACUGCUGGACUCAGCAGGUCUCUUUCUCCCAAAUCCAGGCUAGUCCUUGGAAGGCAUUUGUAUGUGUGGACUUUCUGUAACUCAUUUGCCCAGAGUAUACUUUUCAACGGACAUAGUUUGCUCUUUGUCCGUGACUGUUGGGGGGUAGUAUUUGCUGUCUGCUUGGACUUUGCAAAUUUUCUGUGGUAAAGGAUUACAGUGCAAAUAACAGGUCAGUGGCCUUUGGAGGUAGAUAAGCUGUUGUUGAAACCGUCUGAAUGAAUCCAUUCUUCAAUUCAUCCAGUGAUUUCUACUGGAUACUUCUUGUACAAGAAAAGGCAUUUGCAACUGGUAGAGAUGACUCUAACGUGUAAAGUAUUGACUAUUUGUGUAUAAUAUCAAGAUUAAAAAAGUACUUUGAAGCCGGGCGUGGUGGCACACGCCUUUAAUCCCAGCACUCGGGAGGCAGAGGCAGGCAGGUGGAUUUCUGAGUUCGAGGCCAGCCUGGUCUACAGAGUGAGUUCCAGGACAGCCAGGGCUGCACAGAAAAACCCUGUCUCGAAAAACCAAAAAAACAAAACAAAACAAAACAAAACAAAAGAAAAGUACUUUGAAGAAAUGGAGGUACAUAUUACUUGUAAUUGACACUUAAGUAUUCCUGUCUUGCAUUAAAGGUUUGUGUGUGUGUGUGUUUAUGUGUGUGUUCCUUUCUCUUUUAAUUUAUAAAAUCCUUGAAGAGGUUAAUGCCAAUACAUAGUCUCAUAAAGGCUUAAAACUCUUUCUAUAUAACAUAAGCUUGAGACAUAAGUUUUUUUGGGCGAACUCUGUGCCUGGCUCCAACAACUGUAUCUAUAGAUCUUAUUCUUUGCACAGGAUAUUUACUUUUUAGGAUCAAGUUAUAUAGGCACAGUCACCAAGAUAGAUUUCAUGUCAUGAAAAAUACUAUGCGUCAUCAUGUUAUUGGUUAGUGUGAAAUGACUAGCCAGUAAUUGUCAACUAGGUUAAUUUAGUGAUAAUAUGCAGAUUUAUCUUCUAGCAGCUCAUAAGACCUACAAGCUUUCCUGUCUGGAUUAAUUUGGCUUUCAUUGUUUGGCCAGUAGGUAUUAAUUAAUCAACUAUACCUUAGUGAGUUCUCACAGUGUUUCAAUACAGUUGCUUCUAGUGGAUACUAUAUGUGAUAGACAAAUAAAAUAACUAAGACUUUAGGACCUCUACUGUCCUCAAGGUUCACUCAGGAGAAUGAGAGGAACCCUAGUCUGUUUUGCACAGCAAGCUCGUGACACAUGCAUCCAAUCUUCCCUGCCUGCCCUCUUCAGUCCACACUCUUCCUGUUCAUCACCUCACUUCUGCUGCUUUUCUCUGGCUUCCUCUGGCCUUUCCUCCACCCCAGUUCCUCUAACUUGUAGUAUUGAGUUCCAUUGUCAGCAUCAGCCCUUUAGUGCGUGUAUUUUUUUUUUUUGAGUGAUCACGUGAUCUCACUUAAGUCCAUGACUUUAAGCACUAAUUCACCCACAACGAGGACGUCUCUGAAUCCUAGAUUGUUAUAUUCUUAUAACAAGGCCAAGAAAAUUAUUAAUUACCUCCCCUCAAUAGGUCAUAUCCUACCCCUACCCCACCCUGUCCACCCUUCCCCCCACUUAGUUCUAUGGGUCAGUACCUCGCCAUCACUAUUGAGUCCAGUUUUGCUUAUGUCUUAUAUCUAGUUUGUUAGUAACAGAUGACAGCUCUAUUCCCUAAGUAUAGUCAGAACCUGACCACGAGUAACCUUUUCCCUUGCUGGCAUCCCAGCCUAAUGCAUUAUUGUCUUCUGCCUAGGACAGGGCCACAGCUUCCCAGCUUCCACGUAGCCCACUGCGGUCCUCCACAUUCAGACAGUGACUUCCUAGAGCUAGUCCCGGAAACACCAGGAUAAGGUUAGGCCUCCUUGCUGCGGCCGAUAUAGCUCAUCUUCUGCCUCUCUUUGGACCUCAGCUCUCUGUUCUCCCAUUGUGCACUCCACUCCACUAUGGCUGCCCUGACUUCCUCUUAAUCUGUAAGGGUCCGGCCUUGACUUCCUGUUAACCUCACCGUGUCUCUGAGGAUCUCAGCUAUAGUGUCCCUUUCUCGGACAAGCCUUUGAAACCAAAAGAGCAGUCCUUCACAUCACAAAAGCUGAUUUUUAUUGUCUUCAUCUUCAACAAAUAUUUGUUGAAACUUUGGCUGACUUUUUGUAACUUAUUUGCAAGAACAAAGGACUUGAACCAAUCAUCUCUAAUGACUUUUCUAAUGGAAAAUUCCAUUCACUUAAAUGUGGAUUGGUCUGAAUAAUGAGAAACAUAACAAUGUCAGAAUGAUGCUCAGUUUCUCAGACCUCAAUAAAGCAUGUCUCUGUUCACUUACCUUAGCUAUACAGAAUGUCCUCUUCUCUUGUGGCCUCGUGUCCAGCUGGAUAGCACUUUGCCUUGUCACAGGUAUACA